GACGAACGCUGGCGGCGUGCUUAACACAUGCAAGUCGAACGGAAAGGCCCUGCUUUUGUGGGGUGCUCGAGUGGCGAACGGGUGAGUAACACGUGAGUAACCUGCCCUUGACUUUGGGAUAACUUCAGGAAACUGGGGCUAAUACCGGAUAGGAGCUCCUGCUGCAUGGUGGGGGUUGGAAAGUUUCGGCGGUUGGGGCUGGACUCGCGGCUUAUCAGCUUGUUGGUGGGGUAGUGGCUUACCAAGGCUUUGACGGGUAGCCGGCCUGAGAGGGUGACCGGCCACAUUGGGACUGAGAUACGGCCCAGACUCCUACGGGAGGCAGCAGUGGGGAAUAUUGCACAAUGGGCGGAAGCCUGAUGCAGCAACGCCGCGUUCGUGAUGACGGCCUUCGGGUUGUAAACCGCUUUCGCCUGUGACGAAGCGUGAGUGACGGUAAUGGGUAAAGAAGCACCGGCUAACUACGUG
rnacentral:rRNA from 1 species